GACGAUUGCAACAGCCCCAGGAGGCACCUCAGCCUCUGUCCCUGCAGCAGGGAGGGACCAGCGCCAGCCCCAGCAGCCCCACGCACAUGGGGCACUCUCGGGUUGGCCCCGGGCACUUGUGCCAGCAGCAACUGGGGCCUGUCCCACCCACCAGCACUGCUAUAAAUCCAGCGUGGUUGGGGCAAAGCAGCAUUCCCUGACCCCAGGGGCAUCUGGAAACAGCCAUUCCUGUUGGGGUUGCUGCUGCCUGAGCACCCACAUCUUUGCCAGGGAGCCCUGUGAAGAGCCGCGAGAGGCAGCAGCCAUGAAGAUCCUGUUCCUGCUCUUCCCCCUGAUCCUCCUGCUGGUGCAGGGUGCUGCAGGAGGUUCAGCUGCAUGCAGGCGCCGAGGGGGACACUGCACCUAUGGGGGUUGCCCCUACCCUGGAAAACCUAUUGGAAGUUGUUCAUCACUAAGGGUGUGCUGCAAAGGGUAAGGACCAGAUUCCUGCUUGAAGAAAGAUUUUCAUCCUUUUUCCCUAGAGGGGUCUGUCACUGAUUUCUUUCUAGCAAAGACGUGAUAAAAUCUCUCCUGCUUUU
rnacentral:lncRNA from 1 species